GUGAAUCAUCAAAUCUUUGAACGCAAAUUGCGCCUUUUUCGGAUGGCAUGUCUGUUUGUGGGCACCAUUUAUCAAAUAAUGUGAUUUUCGUGUGCAUACGUUGAUGAGCUUUCCAAGAAUUUUAAAUUUUUGGUGGUGCAUAAUGAACAGGGAGAAAGAUUUUUUCAUUUCGCGUGUAGUAAAAUCUUUGCUUGGGUUGUGAAAAAA
rnacentral:misc_RNA from 1 species